rnacentral:rRNA from 1 species
GAUGAACGCUGGCGGCGUGCCUAAUACAUGCAAGUAGAACGCUGAAGCUUGGUGCUUGCACCGAGCGGAUGAGUUGCGAACGGGUGAGUAACGCGUAGAUAACCUGCCUCUUAGCGGGGGAUAACUAUUGGAAACGAUAGCUAAUACCGCAUAAAAGUUGACAUUGCAUGAUGUUGAUUUGAAAGAUGCAAUUGCAUCACUAAGAGAUGGGCCUGCGUUGUAUUAGCUAGUUGGUGAAGUAACGGCUCACCAAGGCGACGAUACAUAGCCGACCUGAGAGGGUGAUCGGCCACACUGGGACUGAGACACGGCCCAGACUCCUACGGGAGGCAGCAGUAGGGAAUCUUCGGCAAUGGGGGCAACCCUGACCGAGCAACGCCGCGUGAGUGAAGAAGGUUUUCGGAUCGUAAAGCUCUGUUGUAAGAGAAGAACGAGUGUGAGAGUGGAAAGUUCACACUGUGACGGUAACUUACCAGAAAGGGACGGCUAACUACGUGCCAGCAGCCGCGGUAAUACGUAGGUCCCGAGCGUUAUCCGGAUUUAUUGGGCGUAAAGCGAGCGCAGGCGGUUAGAUAAGUCUGAAGUUAAAGGCUGUGGCUUAACCAUAGUACGCUUUGGAAACUGUUUAACUUGAGUGCAGAAGGGGAGAGUGGAAUUCCAUGUGUAGCGGUGAAAUGCGUAGAUAUAUGGAGGAACACCGGUGGCGAAAGCGGCUCUCUGGUCUGUAACUGACGCUGAGGCUCGAAAGCGUGGGGAGCAAACAGG